CGCUCGGGAUCCCGAGCCAGCCGACGGGGGAGGCGUCGGGAUACGGAUCUCCGGGCCCCCGCCCCGCCCCCGGGGACCCCGGGGGACCGGCGGCCGUAAGGGGGUCCCCGGAAACGGAGGGGCGGGGGGGGGGGGCCCGUGCGGCUCGUGGCUCCGGGGCCCCCGGAGGUGAACGGCUGCUGUUGGAACAGAAGGGAGGCCAUUUUGGAUCCCUCCUUCGGGGAGGAAAGCGAAAGCUCUCUCUAAAAACGAACCGUCCUCCGACAGCGGGACCGGGAAUUCUCCGGCCUGGGGUGACCGGAGGGAGAGCCUUCUCGCUGAAAGCGUGACUCCCCGAAUGCAAAUCCGUGAUCGGGGGAGUCUGAGCCGAGAGCGGGUAAUUUUCCCGGCUGGGAAUUUUCCUGUUCCGACCGGGCCGCUCCACCCUGUUGGCUUUGGGAGUCGUCGCCUUCUCCUUUAGUCAUAUGGCGCCUUGGAAGGGCUCCAGCCCGAGGUCCAGACCUGACAUACCCCCGAAGGAGAAACCCUGCGCUGCUUCGCACGAAGCGACCGGUGCCGUCCUGAGCUUCCAAACCGCUAACCGUAGGUACCGUCAAACAACGGGGCAGCGCGGCCCGGUGGAAAGAGCCCAGACUUGGGAGUCAGGGGACCCGGGUUCUAAACCUGUCUGCCGGGUGACCUUCGGCCAGUCACUCUGCCUCUCUGGGCCUCAGUUGCCUCCUCUGAAAAAUGAGGAUUAAAGUCUGUGAGCCCCAUGAGGGACGUGGAUUGUGACCA